rnacentral:lncRNA from 1 species
GCCCAGUUUUAAUGGAGUUUUUUUUUCUUGUUGAUUCAAGUUCCUUAUACAUCCUGGAUAUAAGCCUUUAUUAGACCUUUGGUCAGAUGCAGUUUGCAAGUGUUGUUUCCCAUUCUGUAGGUUGUCUGUUUACUCUUUUUCUUUUUUGUCGCAAUUGCUUUUGAGGUCUUAGCCAUAAAUUCUUUCCUAAGGCUGAUGCCUAGAAUGGCAUUUCCUACAUUUUCAUCUAGAUUCUUGUAGUUCCCAGGUCUUAUGUUUAAAUCUUUAAUCCAUCUUAUCAAAACAAUCUACAGAUUAGCACUAUUCCUACCAAACUACCAAAGUCAUUUUUCACAGAAUUAGAAAAAUUAUUUUAAAAUUCAUAUGAACCAGAAAAGAAUCCCAAGAGCCAAAGCAAUCAUAAGCAAAAAACAAAACAAACAAACAAAUAAACAAAAACAAAGGCAGCGGCAUCACAUUAUCCAACUUCAAACUACAGUAAGUCCACAGUAACCAAAACAUCAUGGUACUGAUACAAAAACAGACACACAGACCAAUGGAACAGAAUAGAGAACUCAGAAAUAAAGCUUCACACUGAUAUAGUUUGUAUAUUUGUCCCCACCCAAAUCUCAUGUUGAAUUGUAAUACCCGAUGCUGGAGGUGGGGGUCUGGUGGGAGGCAUCUG